rnacentral:tRNA from 1 species
GGUUUAAGUCCUCUUUUUGCCA